UACGUAGGGUGCAAGCGUUGUCCGGAAUUACUGGGCGUAAAGGGCGCGUAGGCGGCCUUAUAAGUCAUGUGUGAAAGCUCUGGGCUCAACCCAGGAAUUGCAUGUGAUACUGUAAGGCUUGAGUUCGGUAGAGGAGGGCGGAAUUCCAGGUGUAGCGGUGAAAUGCGUAGAUAUCUGGAGGAACACCCGUGGCGAAGGCGGCUCUCUGGUCCGAAACUGACGCUGAGGUGCGAAAGCUAGGGUAGCAAACAGG
rnacentral:rRNA from 1 species